rnacentral:lncRNA from 1 species
CUCUCUCUCUUCUCUAGGCAUGUGCUCUGAGAAAAGGUCAUCUGAGGACAAAGUACCCGUCUGCAAGCCAGGAAGAGAGCCCUUGCCAGAAACUAAACCCCGCUGGAAACUUGAUUUUGCGCUUUCCAGCCUCUAGAACUAAUAUGUGAAAAACAUUUAAAUCAGAAAGUAAAUGACAGGAUGAUUUGCAAGACACAGGGAUGUAAAAUUAAAAAGCCUCUCGAGCUCCAAAGAAGCAGAUUCUGCUUUGCUCUAUUUGUGAAAGACAACUGGAUGAGUAAAGAUUACUACUUGCAAGGAGACUAGCAAUUUAUCCAAAAUUGGAAACAGAGAAAACGGCAUCUUCUUUUCACUCAUUCUGACUCAAAAUGGGUGUAGCUCAUCAGAGUACAUCGUUACAUUUUCGGGACUUUUGCUACCUGGCUCACAUCACUUUGGUAGCUUGAACUCUGCCAUGAUUGGGAAUAUUUACACCACAAAAAUGGGCUAAUCUCCUAGGAAUGGAUUCUAGGACGGCAUCAGCAU